rnacentral:rRNA from 1 species
AUUGAACGCUGGCGGCAUGCCUUACACAUGCAAGUCGAACGGUAGAGUAGCAAUACUCGAGAGCGGCGCACGGGUGAGUAACGCGUGGGAACCUGCCCAGAGGUCUGGGACAACCGCGGGAAACUGCGGCUGAUACCGGAUGAUUCCUGAGGGACAAAGAUUUAUCGCCUUUGGAGGGGCCCGCGUCGGAUUAGGUAGUUGGUGGGGUAACGGCUCACCAAGCCUAUGAUCCGUAACUGGUCUGAGAGGAUGACCAGUCACACUGGGACUGAGACACGGCCCAGACUCCUACGGGAGGCAGCAGUGGGGAGUAUUGGACAAUGGGGGGCAACCCUGAUCCAGCAAUGCCGCGUGGGUGAUGAAGGCCUUCGGUUGUAAAGCCCUUUCGGCGGGGACGAUGAUGACGGUACCUGCAGAAGAAGCCCCGGCUAACUUCGUGCCAGCAGCCGCGGUAA